AUUCUGCCCAUGCGGGGAAGGAUGAGAAGCUUCGACCAAGGUUCGACUCGAGCGCCAGCGAGAGAGCGUUGCCGCAGGCAACGACCCAAAGGGCGAAGCGCUGAGUAAUCCUUCCCCCACCACCA
rnacentral:sRNA from 1 species